ensembl:snRNA U6 U6 spliceosomal RNA
GUGCUUGCUUCAGUAGCACAUAUACUAAGAUUGAAACAAUACAGAGAAGAUUAGCAGGGCCUGUGAGCAAGGAUGACAUGCAAAUUCUUGAAGCAUUUCAUAUUUUG